CCUACGGGUGGCAGCAGUAGGGAAUCUUCCACAAUGGGCGAAAGCCUGAUGGAGCAACGCCGCGUGGGUGAAGAAGGUCUUCGGAUCGUAAAACCCUGUUGUUAGAGAAGAAAGUGCGUGAGAGUAACUGUUCACGUUUCGACGGUAUCUAACCAGAAAGCCACGGCUAACUACGUGCCAGCAGCCGCGGUAAUACGUAGGUGGCAAGCGUUAUCCGGAUUUAUUGGGCGUAAAGGGAACGCAGGCGGUCUUUUAAGUCUGAUGUGAAAGCCUUCGGCUUAACCGGAGUAGUGCAUUGGAAGCUGGGAGACGUGAGUGCAGAAGAGGAGAGUGGAACGCCAUGGGUAGCGGUGAAAUGCGUAGAUAUAUGGAAGAACACCAGUGGCGAAAGCGGCUCUCUGGUCUGUAACGGACGCUGAGGUUCGAAAGCGUGGGUAGCAAACAGGAUUAGAUACCCGGGUAGUC
rnacentral:rRNA from 1 species